UACGUAGGGUGCAAGCGUUAUCCGGAAUUAUUGGGCGUAAAGAGCUCGUAGGCGGUCUGUCGCGUCGGUCGUGAAAACCUGCAGCUUAACUGUGGGCUUGCGGUCGAUACGGGCAUGACUGGAGUUCGGCAGGGGAGACUGGAAUUCCUGGUGUAGCGGUGAAAUGCGCAGAUAUCAGGAGGAACACCGGUGGCGAAGGCAGAUCUCUGGGCCGUAACUGACGCUGAGGAGCGAAAGCAUGGGGAGCGAACAGG
rnacentral:rRNA from 1 species